UAAUCUUAUUAAGGUUAUCUGGGUAUUCAGCAACAACCAGCCCCAAGAAACCCACGGUUCUACAAUCAAUUUCCCCUCCCAGGGAACUUAGUUUAUUCCGGCUAAUGAACUAAGGGAAGACGUGGGACUGGAAAUAAUAUCUAAGCAUUUUUUUUAAGCAGAAAAUGUAAAUGAUCCAGGUUGUACACAAACCAAGAGAUUGGUUCACUCUUAAUGAAACAUGCACAUUUUUCUUUACAUGUGGCCCUGAAAAGUUGCCAAUUGAAGAGAAGCUUCUCCCUGAUUAGUGGCCCUUUGCAUAACACUCCACUCUAUAGAGUCAUUGAAAUGAAACACAUGCUGUGCACAGCUGCCUCAAUUUGUGCAAUAGAUUGGCUGCAAAACAAAUUUCAACCUAGAAUCCUGUAUUGGUGAGCUACAAUCAAAUUGGAAGUUCCUUUGAGAAAUAACCCAGCAAAAAUUAGAGUUCUAAAGUACCACCAUGCUAUGGAAAUAUGCCAUGAUUUAUUACUUUGUGCUCAGCUCACCUGACCUAUACCCGCUCCUCCACAAUUGUCUUUGUUAUACCUACAUAAUAAUAGUAGCUUUCUUUUAUUUUCUACAUUUGUCAAGGUAGAUACAUAUGUUCGUGCAUUUUUAACCCUCUUAGUAAACCAAUAAGAAUCCCUAAACCUCACAGAUUUGGAGACAUACUUUCUCAAAGUUUUCAUUAAUAGCACACAUAAAUGGUGAAAUUAUUUUCUGUAAUAAAAUAUGUGAGAAUAAAAAGCUUUCAUACUGAUACAAGAGCUAAUCUUUUCUAUGAAUCUUCUCAGUGAGUCACUACCAUAUUUUCUCUUGUUUCCUCCUCCAACACAAAGCCCAUGAUGACAACCUAAGAUCGGGAAAUAUUAAUAUAUGUUUUCCAUGACAUGGGUUGUAAACAUCUUUUCACUGGUGGCAAUUCCAUUGGGAAAAUCUGGUCUUUGCCUAUCCGUCCUACACCCAAUCAGUAGCAAUUUUAGUGUCAAUUAUAUAUGCCCAAUAUCUAUCAAAUGCAUAUAUUCUUCUCUAUUCCCUCAGUUAAUCUUUAUUAUCACUCAUCUUCAUUCACUACUUGUGGCAGAGUCUGACUAGUUAUGCACCAAACCAGCUCCCUUCUCCUCCCAGGCUAGACUACAUUUCCCAGCCUCCUCUACAGUUGGCUGAAACCACAUGAUAGUGUUCUGGCUAAUGACAUGCGCGCAGAAGUGUUUGUGCUUCUGGAUGGCCCACAGAAUCCUCUCAAGGGUAUCUUCCUUUCUCUUUUCCAAUCAGGAGCUGGAUGGAGGAGACUCCAAGGCCUAGAAAAGGGCUAAGCCAUAACAUAUAAGGGCUUGAGUCAUAAUCUGGAGGGGAGCUGACUGAAAAUGAGUCACCCAACCAGGAACACCUGCAAUGGACUCUUGCAACAAUGACAGGCAAACUUUUAUGGUAUCAAAACUAGACUAAUACACUAUGAAAAUAGCAUCAUUUCCCAGCUUCCCCCUCUCUAUCCCAUUGUUCAUACCAAAAUCAUGUUUGUCUUCCCAAAACACCACAUUUUAACCAUUUAAUCAUUAAAAAAUGAUCCAUAGAUGUGCUGAAUAGUCUAUUUCUGAGUUUCUAUUAUGUUCCAAACUAACUUCUUACAAAAUCUUGCAGUUGAAAUUCUGUCACCUGACUUCUGGGACUUCCACCUGUGUCUAUAAGUUUGCCUGUCAUUACAUACUCUAACCUGUCCUCUAGGUCUCUAAUUCCUGAUAAUCCAAAUUAUUUGCUAUUCCUGACAUAUGAUUUAGAUUACAUGCUUCCACACUUUUGGUUCCUUUGUCCUCUCUGUUUCUAAACCUUACAUUUCUUUUAAGCUGCAUUGCAAAUGCUAUCGUUACCAGAAAGCUGUAUUUCCCUGUAUCCCUAGCUAAAUAUCUCUCUCUCUAUCUCCCAACUGCCACAGAAUUCUACCUGUUUCUCCAAGUUCUGCAAGAGCAGAGAGGAUGGUUCCACAUCUGCCUUGUCUACCACUGGAGCUAGCACCAUGUCUGGCACGUAGUAGGAGCCCCAGUGUUUUCUUGGACACAGAACAAGGCUAUUUGGCAUCUCUCCCUGUGAGUAAUGAUCUAUUUAUGGACUAGUUUCUCUGGCACAUUUCUCCUGACAUAGUUCUCAAGACACAGUAAAAGAAGAAAUGAAGUUGGGCCAAAUGGCACCUGAGCAUGGCAAAUGGGAUGAAGGAGCAGGUGAUCUAUUCAAUCAGUGAGUCAACACAUUUUUGUGGAGCUUUGUCCAUAGACUAGGCUGGGGUCCACCUGCUAGUACAGUGUAAUUUGAAAAUCACAAGACUUGCCUAAGCUAAAACACUUCCUUCAACAUUAAGGAUUCAACCUCUCAAUAUCUUAGCAAUAUCUUAGCCAAGAUCAGUAGUCUGAGAAAAAGAAACAUGGCAUAAAUCAAAAGGAGCAAGAAGAAAAAGAAAUUGAAGGGCUGCUCAAAGAGAAGCAGCUGUUCAAGACAGACUACAGUCACAGAUGUGUCUGGAGACGGAAUUAACCUGCAGCGUGAGCAUUAUAAACAUAUACUUUUAAAAGGCACAAGUACUGAGCACCGAAUAGUGAGGAAAUCGUAUGGUUCAGACCUGAGGGUAGAUUCAUGCCAGCUACAAUGAGGCUGAAAAUGAAAAGAGAGAGAAAUUGAAGUGAUACCAUUGUAAGAUUUCCAUGGAAACUGCUUGGGCUGAGGAAGGAAGGGAAGGUGUGUUCCCCACACAGUCCACGGAAUAGGCAGAGCUGGAGUGGAUGACACAUAGCUACUAACUGGCUAGAAGACAAGUUGCUCGGCACGGUGCUCAGAUACACCCUUAACCACCUUUCUGUGAUCUCAUUUCUCGAUGGGCACAUGACGUCAUUAGAUAAGAUGACUACUCUGUAACUAAUUCUGACCGACGUGGAAGUUUGGGAAAUAUCCUCAAAACAGUCACAUGAGAGUUCACGAUAGCCGAGGAGGAAUAAUGCAGGGACUUCCUAGAAGAAAGGAGCAAAAAUCCCUUAAGCUAAAAAUCUAGAAGUGGCUAAAAGGUCUAAGCAUAUGUCUGUGAGAGGAGGGGAGUUUCAGAGUAAAAAUAAGACUCAAAAAACUAUAAUGUUUCUGCUGAGGAAGAAAAGAUGAGCUAUAUAAAGAGACCAGGUGACUAAAGAAGCAGGUGUUUUCAGGGAGUCCCACUUGAAAGACCAUAUACCAAAGGGGACACAUAACCAAGAUAAAUGCAUUAAAAUAAAAUAAUUACAAGGAGUUGUGAGAUUAGUAACAGCAAGAAUAAACGAAGGGAACUGAGGGUUGAGAAAAUGCUGGGAGAUAAAAAGAGGUUUUAUUGGGUUUUGUAAGAAAAAAGAGAUAAAGAAGAAAAGAGGCAGAUGAUAAAGAAGAAACGAUGGAACUUGGCAAUUCUCUUGGCCUUAAACGGGGAUGUGGGUGAAGUAUGGAUGCAAAGAUGUCUGGGGGAGGGGGUGGGGGGUCUUACAUUAGGGGUCAGCAGCAAGGAAUGUCUAAAAUGGGCAAGAGAGUAGACAGAGACAAAAGCAAGGGAAAGGUAGCUCUGGAGAAGAGGGGCAGAAACCUGGGAAUAUGUCACAGUAGAAACUGUCCUGGGUGAAGUCCAUAUAGAGAAACUGAUAAGGUGAAGUUUGUACUUAAUGAGUCCUCAAUGCAGUACACUUAUAGACACAUACAUGCUUAAGAAUGCAUAUGCUGCAUUUUGUAGGAGUAAACUAGUGUUGGUUAUUUAAUAUGAAUUUCUACAAUGUUGGAAGAACUUGCAAUCUUUGUUGGUUUUCAAUAUGUCUGUAUCUACAGGAUAUUGCUGAUGUUUUUUUUAAUCCAAGACCAAGGUCAGGGAAAGGCAACUGACAUUUAUAGAGAAUGAACAAUGUGCCAGAGAUUUACAGACAGCUCAGAUACUCCUUGAAACAAUCAUAUGAGGUAGGUGUUGUGAGCCCAUUUUUAGAGGAAGGAAUUGAAAGUCAGAGAGGUUAAAUAUCCUAGUAGCUCAUCAAAGCAAGUAGAUCAGAACUGAAAACCAUCUGUUGGAUUCCAGAGCCCAGGUUCUUCUCACUGGGCAGUACAGGAUAUUAUAAACCUCAAGUACCAUGCGGUAUCAUCACUUAUGGCUUACACAGCUUUGGAGCCAGCCUCUUAUCUGACUCUAUCUCGCUAAAACAUGCUUCUUUAGAAUGAUCAUUUGGAAUCUCUAGUCCAGGGCAUUUUUGGCUCAUUCUCUCCCUACCUAUUGCCAGUUAGGCAUCCAGCUUCCAACUCUCCGAAUCGCAGAGUCGUUCUAUUCAUUCAUUGCUCUUUUGGUUCACUUACUCAUUUACUUCCAUUCACUGACUCAUUACACUGUGAUUUAUUCACCAAAUAUUUACUGCAUAACUAUGUUUAAUAAAUCAAAGACUAGGAAGGAAUGUGUCCAGUUUCGACUACUGCCUAACUGUCAAGAUCUCGAUCAGCCUGUUCAGGUUCAAUCUAGAUUAUUCAUCCCGUUGAAUUUUCCUGGUGAUUUUGGUCAAAAUGGUUUGGUUGUUCUAACUUUACAAGGUAGAGGGCAUUGGGACCCUUCCUUUAGAAUUGAGUUUGAUACUUUCAAACCACACAGCCAUGUCUGGCAAGGCCUCGGUGCUUCUAUUUUAGGUAAAUGUGAAAUAGCUGAUUCCUUCUGGAUCACCUCAGACCUCCACUCCCUAGACCCUUUCCAUUUUCCUUUUUAUGCAGGCAGCACCCCUCUCCAUCUACCUAUGGUUUUAAAAUAAAAACUGAGAAUGUUCUCAACUUCUCUGGGUAAUCUCAGACAUUCUUCAUAUUAAAAAGGGAGCAUAGUAAGCAUAAAACUUAAUAGCCUUAGGUAAGUAAUUUUGGGCAAAUUAGGUAAAGUGAUUUCCUGUACGAAUGCCAAGCAUGUACUAUAUUUACCAUAGAACACUUCUUAGGCAUAUCAAAGAGAAAUACAUCUGAACCUAAGGUGAUUUCUAUCCUCAGCCAGCACAUGCAUUUCCAUCUGCUCCAGACUCCAUACUUUGGUUUUCAGUUGACAACUGAACAAUAAAAAUUUGAGCCCCAUAUUGCUGGAAGAGUAACCUCUUCCCCCUUCAUUUUCUGUAAAACAAUGGGGCUGAAUGAGUAAUAAUGUUUUAAUAACCAGUACUUGUGCAGAAUUUAAGAAUUUGCCUACCAAUGCAUUAUCUCAAAACAAUCCUUUUUUGAGUUAACCUUGUCUUCAUUUUAAAAAUGAAGCAAUUAAAUCUCAAAGGAGUUAAGACAAUUCUCAGCUACACAGUGAGCAAGCCAUGUAGACAAGGCUCAGACUCAGAUCUUUUGACUGAAAUGUCACACUCUUUACAAUACACCCUGCCGUUUCUAAAUGAUCUCUAUGGUUUGUUUUUUUUUUGGGGGGAGGGGGGCAUGAGUGAACUGCAAAGUUGCCUGGAGGAUCAUGGGCGAGUCUUGCAUUAGGGGUCCACAGCAAAGGCUGUCUGAAAUGGGCAAGAAAGUAGACAAAGAUAAAUGCAAGGGAAAAGCAGCUCUGGAGAAAAGGGGCAAAAGAUGAAGGAAAUAUCAGAGGAGAGAUUAUCCUGCGUGAAGUCCACACAGGAUGAUUGGUAAGGUGAAGUUUGUGUUUCAUCUCCUAUGAUACUGGAACUUUCUUUUGGUGAACAGUGUCAUCACCUAAAUUAAAGCAGUUUCUUAAAUUCAAUUCAAGAAAUAAUUCAGAAUUAGUUUUGAAGAGAAAUAAAAGUUUCUCAAGUUUCUGGCUAUGGUUCUGGAUGUUCAGUAGGUUUAUUUGAAAGCUGAAUCUAUCUUGAAGAAAACUCACCAUUAUUUUCAGGAUGAGGCGGGUGGGGAAUCUAGCACCUGGGAGAGAAAAAUGAGGAAAAAAAAAUCUUAGUGGGUAGAUAUUAUCUCUGCUACAGAAGGAUGUGGUACAUCAGAAAAAUUCCUAGAUAGAAAGUAUUCUUGGCAUGAUCCAUACAUGCUUUCUGAAGGAACCAGAGGAAAAGAGGCUCAAGUCUCUAAACUGUCUUCUUGGAUCCACAACAAGGAAUCUUGAAUUCAAGGGAAAAGGCAGAGGAACAAAGACUUGCAGCUAAGGUGAGAGUCUGCAUAGAAGAGGGGAAAGAUCCUCUCUUGGACGAAGGCUCAUCCUUCGGUGAAAGACCAUAUGUGGGAUUCUCUCCUCCAUAUGCCCUACUUGGAAAAGCUACUAAUUAUCUCAUAAAUUCUGAUUUAUUCCCAAGUGACUUUAACCUUCUUUUAAUCUCAGUCAAUUCAUUCAUCCAGUUAUGAAUGAUUAAAUGUCUCUUCUCUCAGUUCUUCUACAAAUUCUAUUUUCUCUAGAGGUAUAGAGUUUAGCUUUUCACCAUUUGCCUCCAGACUUGCUUUUCCUGAGACUUUUAUGAAGGGGGACAUAUUUUAAGGGUGCAGUUCAUCAUAUUCUCUUUUAACAUUGGUUAAACUUUCCAAGAAGUUUACAUUUCCUUUUAAUCAGUUUUGUAAGUUUCUUCCCUGUAGUCGGUAUUUAAGUGUAUGAAAACUUCUGCUCAGAGCAAGAGAACCAUAAAACAUUCAAUAAUUGUUCUCCAAAGAUUAUGUUUUUGGGCAACACUGCCACACCUUAUAUGGCUUCCCCAAGAGAAACUCUGGGCACAAUAUCGGGUCGUCUACAGCUUUCACACGGCCCCAAAGUCCUCCAGAAAACUGCCUCACAGGGCUGCUAUACCCCAGAUCACAACAAACCAUACUAAACACUUGUCAGCAUUUCACCCAGAACCAAACCUAAUAACCAGAGGUAAACUCAUAUUUAAAGAUCUCAAGAGAGCUAGAUUUCCUUUACAAACUUACAUUUCCUUAAUAACAGAACAUAUAUAGAGAUAAGAAGGUAUAUGUGCUAAUAUGUGCUAAGUUGUUUUUAGUUUUCCAAAGGCAUUUUCCUACCCUGAUUCCUUAAUCUGGAUCCAAUUGGCUUGUUUUGUCAAAGCACUAUGCAAAUGAGUCUUUAUAUAAAAUGGGGUUUUAUUUCUAUGGAUACCACUUAAUUACAUCUUCUUCCACAUGAAUUAUACCCCUUAACCUGGCCAUCUUCCCCCAUGUAGAUAGAGUGAGGCAGAACUCAGCUCAAGCUGGGAGAAUACUUUAAUGUUUCAAGGUCCCACAGUGAAACAGACUCUAAUGCAUAGGUAGGGUCCCUGGCAAAUGCCCCAACUACCAGAGGCCCAUGUGCCUGACAGCCAAUGGUUGCAGCUGAAACACCUCUGCCUCAUUCAGAGGAAUCCUCUAGGACCAAGCCCCAGCCUGGGCCUCCAUUACCCACCAUGCAUUUGCAGAUCUGCUUCACUCUGGGUCUCUGGAGCUAUCUUGCAUUUUCAGAUGUUCUCUUGCUCUCCUGCCUUUCAGAUCUAGUGAUUGCUACUGGCUUCUUGGAUACACUCUCAAGAUGCUAAUUAUUCUUCCUUCUAGUUCACUUAUUCAAUAAAUUUUAAUUAAAUUUAUAGAAUGUGAUGGGCACUAUUCCAGGUCUCUGAGAUGUAAUAAUGGACAAAAUAUACAGAAUCCCUCAUCUUGUGAUGUUUCCAUUUCAGUAGGAAGAGGCAGGUCACAACAUGCAAACAUACAUAUGAAAAGGUGUUUAUCAGUACUAAUGAAGAAACAUAAAUCAAAGUAGAGUUAAAGAAUAAUGGGUGGGGUCUUUUAGAGUUAUCACGGAAGGCCUGAUGACACUUGAGCAGAGGGAUGACAUGGUGAGAAAGGGACACAUGCAGAUUUCUGCAGGGCAGGCAUCCCAGACUGAGGGAACAGCAAAUACAAAGACACGGCAGUGAAAGUAUUCUUUGGGGUGCUUGAUAAAACAUCAAGUUUACUGUCUCUGCUCUAGCUCCCAGGAUCCUGGCCAAGCACAGCUCAGACCCAAUUAGUGUCUAUCUUGGGUACAUACAUUAUGGUCAUAAACAGGGGGAAGGAAUGGAGCCCUAGUGCCAAAAAAUAGAUGCUGGGCAUCUUCUUGUUAUGGAGUGUGAAAGGAGAUACCCCAGCACCGAGUGGGUGGCUGGGAUUCGUAUUGCUCACACCUUAGUUCUACUAUUCUGUGCAAGCAUUUAUAUGUGUCUACAUCCAGGUAACCUACCAGCACAACUAAGGAAAAUGAGACUUAAAACAUAUAUUUAACCAGUAGUAAUGUUGUCUCCAUGCUUGAGAAAGGCAUACAUCAUCAUCAUUUCCAAAGAAUUUCCAUGAAAGUAGAAUAAUACAGAGAAAGAGGGCUGAGAUUUAAUUUUUAAAGCAGACUUUUGAUGUGUUGAUCAAAUCCCUUUAUUUUCUCACCUCUUGCUGUGCUUCUGAAUUCUGUGGUUCAUGAGUCAGUAGUGACUAACAAUGGUAUUGAGACAGAGACCUGACAAAAUUUGGGGGUUACCAGCAGAAGGAAUUAUAUUUUCAACUUGUUGGUUUAAGUCUUGAACUUUUUUUGAAUAAAAAAAGGAGGUUAAAGUAUUAUGUAGAAAAGUGUGACAACCCAGUAUUUUAAAGCUUCAUAUCUAAGUGGUUCUGAGGGCCAUAUCAGCUGUAUUCCAUAUGAAUAUCAUAAAUAAUGAAUAAUAAUAGCUACAAUUUCUUUAGUCCUUAUUAUGUUAUAGACUCUAUAUUAAGGCAAGUAAUUUAUUUGUUCCUUAUGAAACUUCUGUGGGUAGAGGGGUAUUUUCAUAUCUCCAUCCUACAGAUGAGAGAUCUGAGACUCAGCAAGACUGAAGGAUUGGCCCCGACAUUACAAAGCUAGUGAAUGGCAGAGCUAGGGUUAGAACCCAUCUCCAUCUGAACCCAUAGUCUAAGCUCCUAGCCCACCACAUGAUCCUGCUGCUUCUAGAGCAGGGGAAAAUAAUCAGAGUAUUUAAGAAUUGGAGUUUUCCUUAUGCUUCCAUCAUGGAGAAAAAUCAUCAGUUAAUUAAGAAAGAGUUCAUGACUUAAGUUUGCAAAUAAAAUGCAUAUAUUGUGGAAUUCAUUCCUUAAGGUUCAAGGUGGCAAGAAGCUAAAUUGAGAAAUCUCUGCCAAUGUAUUUAUAGAAGAACUCCCUCCCUAGGUAACAUGCGUACCAUCUCAUCUCAACAUUACAAUUGAUUCUUGCCUAACUUCGAAGUUCCAAUGGGAGAACAUCAGGCCACGGAGGAGAAGGUAGAGUGCAGGAGCUGUUUUGCAGUCAGGUGUAAUGGAAUCAACACUGGCUUAAUAGGCUGGAAACCAGCCUGUCUUUCCAGCCUCUCCAGCCACCAGUAGUGGGAGCCUGGACAAGUAAACCUCAAUGGACUUCGAUUUUCUCAUCUGGAAAAAUAAGAUGAUUGAAAUAAACUAUCCCUUCCAGCAAUUCUUUGAAUCAAGGAUAAUUUAUAGCUUUUGCCAUUCAUCAAGUUCAGAUUAAGUUCCCUCUUUAUGUUAUCUCUUGCUAGAAUGUGAACUCUUCAAAAGGCACGUGGUAUAAGUAGGUAGCUCCCAGAAGGAGCCCAGAAAAUAUUUCUUUAUGACUGUAUCUAAAAAAUAUAUAUGAGGACAGAUGGCCAAAGGACCCCAAGAUAUAUCAGCUUUAAGAUGGGAAGCAGAAUUCAUCAUUCUUAUACACAGUAAUAUUUACUAAAUGUUUAUUGAUCAAAGGAAAUUGGUUCCAUUUGAAAUUGUAGCUAAAAGUCAACAACAAAAUAAAAUGUA